GCCGGGUUAGCUCAGCAGGUAGAGCGACUGAUUUGUAAUCAGUAGGUCAUUGGUUCAAAUCCGAUAUCCGGCA
rnacentral:tRNA from 1 species